AUUGAACGCUGGCGGAAUGCUUUACACAUGCAAGUCGAACGGCAGCACGGGGGCAACCCUGGUGGCGAGUGGCGAACGGGUGAGUAAUACAUCGGAACGUGCCCAGUCGUGGGGGAUAACGUAGCGAAAGUUACGCUAAUACCGCAUACGAUCUACGGAUGAAAGCGGGGGUUCGCAAGACCUCGCGCGAUUGGAGCGGCCGAUGUCAGGUUAGGUAGUUGGUGGGGUAAAGGCCUACCAAGCCGACGAUCUGUAGCUGGUCUGAGAGGACGGCCAGCCACACUGGGAGUGAGACACGGCCCAGACUCCUACGGGAGGCAGCAGUGGGGAAUUUUGGACAAUGGGCGCAAGCCUGAUCCAGCCAUUCCGCGUGCAGGAUGAAGGCCUUCGGGUUGUAAACUGCUUUUGUACGGAGCGAAAAGGCUCUCACUAAUACAGGGGGCUCAUGACGGUACCGUAAGAAUAAGCACCGGCUAACUACGUGCCAGCCGCCGCCGUAACAC
rnacentral:rRNA from 1 species